GGGCUGGGGCUCAGCGGUAGAGCACUUGCCUGGAAUGUGUGAAGCACUGGGUUCGAUUCUCAGCACCACA
rnacentral:tRNA from 1 species